AUGGCCGCCCUCACCGCCUCCAUCGCCACCUCCACGGCCUUCGCCGCCAAGCCGCGCCUGGCCCGCCCGCCGGCGCGCCUCUCCGUCUCCUGCUCCGCGUCCAGCGGCGACAACACCACCCCCUCCCUCUCCGCCUCCAUCAAGACCUUCUCGGCGGCCCUGGCGCUCUCCUCCGUCCUCCUCUCCUCCGCCGCCACCUCCCCGCCGCCGGCUGCCGCCGACAUCGCGGGCCUGACCCCGUGCAAGGAGUCCAAGGCGUUCGCCAAGCGGGAGAAGCAGUCGGUGAAGAAGCUCAACUCGUCGCUCAAGAAGUACGCGCCCGACUCGGCCCCCGCGCUCGCCAUCCAGGCCACCAUCGAGAAGACCAAGCGCCGGUUUGAGAACUACGGCAAGUUCGGCCUGCUCUGCGGCUCCGACGGCCUGCCCCACCUCAUCGUCAGCGGCGACCAGCGGCACUGGGGCGAGUUCAUCACCCCCGGCGUGCUCUUCCUCUACAUCGCCGGCUGGAUCGGGUGGGUCGGCCGCAGCUACCUCAUCGCCGUCAGCGGCGAGAAGAAGCCCGCCAUGAGGGAGAUCAUCAUCGACGUCGAGCUCGCCGCCAGGAUCAUCCCCAGGGGCUUCAUCUGGCCCGUCGCCGCCUACCGCGAGCUCAUCAACGGCGACCUCGUCGUCGACGACGCCGACAUCGGCUACUAA
rnacentral:rRNA from 1 species